GUAGGUGAACCUGCGGAAGGAUCAUUACAAGUGAACGGUGGUGACCGCGGGCAACCGCGCUCUCCCGCCGACACCCACCCGUGUCUAUGUUACUUUGUUGCUUUGGCAGGCCGCGGUCUACCGCUGCGGGCUCACGCUCGUACGUGCCUGCCAGAGGAUUAAAUUCUGAAUGUUAGUGAUGUCUGAGUACUAUAUAAUAGUUAAAACUUUCAACAACGGAUCUCUUGGUUCUG
rnacentral:misc_RNA from 1 species